rnacentral:rRNA from 1 species
AUGAACGCUAGCUACAGGCUUAACACAUGCAAGUCGAGGGGCAGCAUGGUCUUAGCUUGCUAAGGCCGAUGGCGACCGGCGCACGGGUGAGUAACACGUAUCCAACCUGCCGUCUACUCUUGGACAGCCUUCUGAAAGGAAGAUUAAUACAAGAUGGCAUCAUGAGUCCGCAUGUUCACAUGAUUAAAGGUAUUCCGGUAGACGAUGGGGAUGCGUUCCAUUAGAUAGUAGGCGGGGUAACGGCCCACCUAGUCUUCGAUGGAUAGGGGUUCUGAGAGGAAGGUCCCCCACAUUGGAACUGAGACACGGUCCAAACUCCUACGGGAGGCAGCAGUGAGGAAUAUUGGUCAAUGGGCGAGAGCCUGAACCAGCCAAGUAGCGUGAAGGAUGACUGCCCUAUGGGUUGUAAACUUCUUUUAUAAAGGAAUAAAGUCGGGUAUGGAUACCCGUUUGCAUGUACUUUAUGAAUAAGGAUCGGCUAACUCCGUGCCAGCAGCCGCGGUAAUACGGAGGAUCCGAGCGUUAUCCAGAUUUAUUGGGUUUAAAGGGAGCGUAGAUGGAUGUUUAAGUCAGUUGUGAAAGUUUGCGGCUCAACCGUAAAAUUGCAGUUGAUACUGGAUAUCUUGAGUGCAGUUGAGGCAGGCGGAAUUCGUGGUGUAGCGGUGAAAUGCUUAGAUAUCACGAAGAACUCCGAUUGCGAAGGCAGCCUGCUAAGCUGCAACUGACAUUGAGGCUCGAAAGUGUGGGUAUCAAACAGGAUUAGAUACCCUGGUAGUCCACACGGUAAACGAUGAAUACUCGCUGUUUGCGAUAUACUGCAAGCGGCCAAGCGAAAGCGUUAAGUAUUCCACCUGGGGAGUACGCCGGCAACGGUGAAACUCAAAGGAAUUGACGGGGGCCCGCACAAGCGGAGGAACAUGUGGUUUAAUUCGAUGAUACGCGAGGAACCUUACCCGGGCUUAAAUUGCAGAUGAAUUACGGUGAAAGCCGUAAGCCGCAAGGCAUCUGUGAAGGUGCUGCAUGGUUGUCGUCAGCUCGUGCCGUGAGGUGUCGGCUUAAGUGCCAUAACGAGCGCAACCCAUGUUGUCAGUUACUAACAGGUUCCGCUGAGGACUCUGACAAGACUGCCAUCGUAAGAUGUGAGGAAGGUGGGGAUGACGUCAAAUCAGCACGGCCCUUACGUCCGGGGCUACACACGUGUUACAAUGGGGGGUACAGAGGGCCGCUACCACGCGAGUGGAUGCCAAUCCCCAAAACCUCUCUCAGUUCGGACUGGAGUCUGCAACCCGACUCCACGAAGCUGGAUUCGCUAGUAAUCGCGCAUCAGCCAUGGCGCGGUGAAUACGUUCCCGGGCCUUGUACACACCGCCCGUCAAGCCAUGGGAGCCGGGGGUACCUGAAGUGCGUAACCGCGAGGAGCGCCCUAGGGUAAAACUGGUGACUGGGGCU